AGGGAAACCGAGUCUUAACUGGGCGUUAAGUUGCAGGGUAUAGACCCGAAACCCGGUGAUCUAGCCAUGGGCAGGUUGAAGGUUGGGUAACACUAACUGGAGGACCGAACCGACUAAUGUUGAAAAAUUAGCGGAUGACUUGUGGCUGGGGGUGAAAGGCCAAUCAAACCGGGAGAUAGCUGGUUCUCCCCGAAAGCUAUUUAGGUAGCGCCUCGUGAACUCAUCUUCGGGGGUAGAGCACUGUUUCGGCUAGGGGGUCAUCCCGACUUACCAACCCGAUGCAAACUGCGAAUACCGAAGAAUGUUAUCACGGGAGACACACGGCGGGUGCUAACGUCCGUCGUGAAGAGGUAAACAACCCAGACCGCCAGCUAAGGUCCCAAAGUCACAGUUAAGUGGGAAACGAUGUGGGAAGGCUCAGACAGCCAGGAUGUUGGCUUAGAAGCAGCCAUCAUUUAAAGAAAGCGUAAUAGCUCACUGGUCGAGUCGGCCUGCGCGGAAGAUGUAACGGGGCUAAACUGUGCACCGAAGCUGCGGCAGCGACGCUUAUGCGUUGUUGGGUAGGGGAGCGUUCUGUAAGCCUGCGAAGGUGUCCUGUGAGGGAUGCUGGAGGUAUCAGAAGUGCGAAUGCUGACAUAAGUAACGAUAA
rnacentral:rRNA from 1 species